GUACUUACCUGAUGGAGAAGACACCAUGAUCAAAAAGGUUUUUCCCAGGAUGAGGCUUAUCCAUUGCACUCUGGGAGUGUUGACCCCUAUGAUUUCCCAAAUGUGGGAAAUUUGGCUGAAUGAUUUGUGGUAACAGGAACUGAGUUUGCACUUUCCCC
rnacentral:snRNA from 1 species